AUUGAACGCUGGCGGCGGGCCUAACACAUGCAAGUCGAGCGGAUGAGAGGAGCUUGCUCCUCGAUUCAGCGGCGGACGGGUGAGUAAUGCCUAGGAAUCUGCCUAGUAGUGGGGGACAACGUUUCGAAAGGAACGCUAAUACCGCAUACGUCCUACGGGAGAAAGUGGGGGAUCUUCGGACCUCACGCUAUUAGAUGAGCCUAGGUCGGAUUAGCUAGUUGGUAGGGUAACGGCCUACCAAGGCGACGAUCCGUAACUGGUCUGAGAGGAUGAUCAGGCACACUGGAACUGAGACACGGUCCAGACUCCUACGGGAGGCAGCAGUGGGGAAUAUUGGACAAUGGGCGAAAGCCUGAUCCAGCCAUGCCGCGUGUGUGAAGAAGGCCCUCGGGUCGUAAAGCACUUUAAGUUGGGAGGAAGGGCUUACAGCGAAUACCUGUGAGUUUUGACGUUACCGACAGAAUAAGCACCGGCUAACUUCGUGCCAGCCGCCGCCGUAA
rnacentral:rRNA from 1 species